rnacentral:rRNA from 1 species
AUUGAACGCUGGCGGCAGGCCUAACACAUGCAAGUCGAGCGAGCGGCGGACGGGUGAGUAAUGUCUGGGAAACUGCCCGAUGGAGGGGGAUAACUACUGGAAACGGUAGCUAAUACCGCAUACCAUCGGAUGUGUCCAGAUGGUAUUAGCUAGUAGGUGGGGUAACUGCUCACCUAGGCGACGAUCCCUAGCUGGUCUGAGAGGAUGACCAGCCACACUGGAAAUGGGACACGGCACAGACUCCUACGGGAGGCAGCAGUGGGGAAUAUUGCACAAGGGGCGCAAGCCGGAUGCAGCCAUGCCGCGUGUAUGAAGAAGGCCUUAGGGGUGUAAAGUACUUUCAGCGAGGAGGCGUUACUCGCAGAAGAAGCACCGGCUAACUCCGUGCCAGCAGCCGCGGUAAUUC